rnacentral:lncRNA from 7 species
AGUCUGUUGCACCGGAGCUGUCGGCCAUGCUGUUCCAGUUCAGGGGCUCCUGCAACAGAAAAGAUCAGCUGUUGGAGAACCCAUGGAAAGCCCUGGGGGAGAGCCAUGGCCGCAAGAAAUUGCUCUAAAUGGAGAGGAUAUCAUACUGCAGCACCUAAUUACAAGCAGUGACUUUAUUUCUGAGCUCCCUGUGGCAGGACUCACUGCAGUAACACCAGGCUCCCACCAGCUGGGACUCCUAAUCAGGCACAAACGUACACCUUGUGAUGGAUACACAAAUGUAUACAUCACAGGCACCUGCCUUCUCCUUUCUCCCCAUGGCAAAUAGCAUGGCAGGAGGCUCUGCCUGGACCCCAGCAGCUACCUCUAAAACUCAAGAUAAAGUCUUAGGGACAGAUCUUCAGCAAGUGCAACUCCAUUGGAAACAGCAUCCUCUUCCUUAUAAUUAAUUGAUGUAACAUCAUCCUUCUCUUUAUCUGGGGCAAAUCCUAACAGGAAAAUAAUCUGAGAGUCUGGUAUCAAUACAUUAAACAGCUGUGCUGGAAAAGUGAAAUUGAUUCAAGGCCUUCAGUGCUCCCUGCCAAAAAAAGCCUCCUGAAAGGAUCUAUUCUGUAUUGAAUUACAGUCUGGAAAAGUUCAAUAGGUUAUUGUACAAACAGAGAGCAAAAGCUCGUCAACAAUGGAGCAAGAGUGAUUGUGAGGCUCCUUUGUGCUUGCCAGCCCCGAGCCCCUCGCAAACUCGGAUGUUAAAUCAGUUUAAUUAAAAUGGUGGGCU